UUAAAUUGAAGAGUUUGAUCAUGGCUCAGAUUGAACGCUGGCGGCAGGCCUAACACAUGCAAGUCGAACGGUAACAGGAAACAGCUUGCUGUUUCGCUGACGAGUGGCGGACG
rnacentral:rRNA from 3 species